AUGGAUGGAGAGUCCGUGUUUGAGCCUGUUGGUUAUUGCACUGACGUGGCAGAGUUUGAAAUCUUGCUAAGUGAUAGCAGAUGUGUGACGCUCGUUAGCAUCCUUUCUCUUUCCUCAGAUUACAACAACACCAUUGCACCUGACCACAGUUCAUGCAAAAGCCUGUGGAAAACAUGACUGACUCGCUUCAUGUGUGAUUUACUGGUCUCAAAGUUCUGCUUCAGACAUAAAGCAAACAAGGCCAGGAGGAAUGACAAGCCAAAACCAAGCUUUGAUGUGUCUUAGAAACUACUGUGUAAUUUACGCUACUGUCCAAAGGUGGACAAUGGGAAAACAAAAGCAAAGAUAUUAAACAGACACAGAACAGCUGGAUUUGUAUAAAGAGGACAAACAUUUCCGACCGCCGCAAGUUUUUAUUCCACAGCUCGGCGGGAACAAACAGCCAUGCUCGCCAACACUAGACCACACGUUGCUCAGCAACAGCACACUGGUCGGAGAGAGGAUGGAGAGGGGGUGGUGCGACAGGAUAGAGAUUCGUGAAGAGGGAAUCAAGGCCUUUAUUAGCCCUGAGUACAGAUCCCUGACCCAGACCUCUGCACUCUUCAUGACCCUCAUAAGAGUAAUCAGCAUGUUACAAAGCUCCUCUAAUGGCCUAAAUGUACAGAUGCACGUUAGUUUUAGUACUUACUAGGGCAGGCAAAGUUAAUAUUAAUUGGUUUUGAAAUUAUAACUUUUUUUUUCUGUUCUGUGUGAUUUCCAAAAAUCUAAUCAGCUGCAGCACAAACAAAAUAACCUACUGGAAUGCCUGUUGAAAAGGUAAUUGAUUUAUUAGUAACACUUUCUAUGAA